rnacentral:misc_RNA from 1 species
AACUUUUGGCAAUGGAUCUCUUGGCUCUCGCAUCGAUGAAGAACACAGCGAAAUGUGAUAAGUAAUGUGAAUUGCAGAAUUUCGUGAGUCAUCGAAUCUUUGAACGCAUAUUGCGCCUGUUAGUUUUCCUAACAAGCAUGCCUGUUUGAGCGUCAUUUUAAUACUCAAAUACUGUACAUUAGUGUAGUAGUUGGUGUUGACCUCCGUGCUGCAGUCCUUAUAUUCUAAGGGGCAGCUGGGUCGAAAACUAGUUUUUGCUCAAAGCUUUUAAAGCCUUGUCAGAAAUCCCAGUGUAAUAGAUGCCUUAAUGGCUAUUUUAACUCGCUGGUGUUUUUUACAUUUUGUGCUUUUUCCGAUUUUGAGAAAUAAAAGGGGACUUGCAACUCCAAGUUUCUUUUUCGAUAUCAAGACCUCAAAUCAAGCAAGAUUACCCGCUGAACUUAAGCAUAUCAAUAAGCGGAGGCU